ACCCGCUGAACUUAAGCAUAUCAGUAAGCGGAGGAAAAGAAACUAACUAGGAUUCCCCGAGUAGCGGCGAGCGAAAGGGGAGAAGCCCAGCGCCGAAGCCCGCGGCCGUCGGUCGCAGUGCAAUGUGGCGUUUCGGUGGCGGCUCGCCGCGACUUCUCUGGCACGAGUAUCUCUGAAUGGGUCUGCCCGCAGCGGGUGUCAGGCCUCUACUUGCCGAGCGAGUCGUCGCGGCCCGUCGUCAUCGCGGAGUCGGGUUGCUUGAGAGUGCAGCCCAAAGUGGGUGGUAAGCUCCAUCUAAGGCUAAAUACCUAGUGCGAGACCGAUAGCAAACAAGUACCGUGAGGGAAAGUUGCAAAGAACUUUGAAAAGAGAGUUCAAGAGUACGUGAAACCGUUCAGAGGCAAACGGACGGAACUGGGCGAGUUCGCCGUCGCCAUUCAGCCGUUGUACACGCGGCGGUGCACUUGGCGGCGGCGGAGCGCGACGACCGUCUGCCCGGGUCGUCAGAAGCCCGGCGGCAAGGUGGCGACGCGUUCGCGCGUCGUGUUACAGGCCGCCGAGGCGUCGGCUGACCUGGCGGGCGAGGAGCGCCUGCGGUGCACUCCCCUCGCGGGAGUGGCUCGAGGCGGUGGGCUUGCGGACGCAGGCGACGAACUGCUCGCAGUUUGACGUCGCGCGCUUCGCCUGUCGCGCCGCUCGACGCCACGAGGCACCCAGGGUCCGGGUCGUGUGGUUCCUGGCACUCCGUCCGACCCGUCUUGAAACACGGACCAAGGAGUUGAGCACGCGCGCGAGUCGAUGGGCUCGAAGAACCCCAGUGGCGCAGCUAAGGCAAAACGGGCGUGAUCCGGCACUGGCGUGUCGGCGCAACGCCGGCCCGCAGCCGACUCGAUGCGAGUGGCUGCGGCGCAAGAGCGUGCGUGCUCAGACCCGAAAGGUGGUGAACUAUGCUUGAGCAGGGCGAAGCCAGAGGAAACUCUGGUGGAGGCUCGCAGCGAUCCUGACGUGCAAAUCGGUCGUCAAACUUGAGCAUAGGGGCGAAAGACUAAUCGAACCGCCUAGUAGCUGGUUCCCUCCGAAGUUUCCCUCAGGAUAGCUGGCACUCGGGAUAAAUGGUUUUAUCCGGUAAAGCGAAUGAUUAGAGGCAUUGGGGACGAAACGUCCUCAACCUAUUCUCAAACUUUAAAUGGGUAAGAGGCGCGACCCUUCCUGAUCGGGGUCGCGUACUUGAACAGAGAGUGCCCAGUGGGCCGUUUUUGGUAAGCAGAACUGGCGCUGUGGGAUGAACCAAACGCGCGGUUAGGGUGCCUAACGCACGCUCAUGAGAUACCACAAAAGGUGUUGGUUGAUAUAGACAGCAGGACGGUGGCCAUGGAAGUCGGAAUCCGCUAAGGAGUGUGUAACAACUCACCUGCCGAAUCAACUAGCCCUGAAAAUGGAUGGCGCUGGAGCGUGCGACCCAUACCGCGCCGUCGGGGCAACGCGUGCGAAAUGCCAGGCCCCGACGAGUAGGAGGGCGUGUCGGUGGCGUUGAAGCGUAGUGCGCGAGCACGCGUGGAGCCGCCUUCAGUGCAGAUCUUGGUGGUAGUAGCAAGUAUACAAAUGAGAACUUUGUAGACCGAAGUGGAGAAGGGUUCCAUGUGAACAGCAGUUGGACAUGGGUCAGUCGGCCCUAAGAGAUCGGAGAAUUCCGUUCUGAACGGGGAGUGACGCGGUGCCGUGGCGCAGUCGUCUGAAUCAACUCGAGCCGCCGAGCUGAGGUUGUUCAGGAGAGGAGAGCGACCGUCCGAGCACACGCACAAUAACCUGUCCCCCCGAUGCGAUCGAAAGGGAAUCGGGUUAAUAUUCCCGAACCCGGCGGUGGAGAUUGGGCCCUCGGGCCCCAGUGCGGUAACGCAACCGAACUCGGAGACGCCAGCGUCGAUCCCGGGAAGAGUUCUCUUUUCUUUGUUAGGAGCGGACUCCCUGGAAUUGGCUUGUCCAGAGAUAGGGACGUUGCAUCCGUAAAGCGUCGCGCCUCACGCGGCGUCCGGUGCAUCGGCGUUGGCCCUUGAAAAUCCGAGGAAGGCAGUGUAAUUUUCGCUCCAGGCCGUACCCGAAUCCGCAGCAGGUCUCCAAGGUGAACAGCCUCUGGUCGAUAGAACAAUGUAGGUAAGGGAAGUCGGCAAAUCCGAUCCGUAACUUCGGGAUAAGGAUUGGCUCUGAGGUGCGGGCUGCUUCGGGUCGCGGCAAGAAGCGGACCAC
rnacentral:rRNA from 1 species